UACGUAGGGGGCCAGCGUUGUCCGGACUUACUGGGCGUAAAGCGCGCGCAGGCGGACUCGUAUGUGCCGUGUGAAAGCGCCGGACUUCCUCCGGCGAGGUCAUGGUAGACAGCGGGUCUUGAGGCUCAGAGAGGUCGGUGGAAUUCCGGGUGGAGCGGUGAAAUGCGCAGAGAUCAGGAGGAACACCCGUAGCGAAGGCGGCACUCUGGGCCGAUACUGACACUGAGGAGCGAAAGCGUGGGGAGCGAACAGG
rnacentral:rRNA from 1 species